rnacentral:lncRNA from 1 species
CUCAUCUCAAAUUAGAUUUCUCUCCCCUCUCUCUCUUUCUCUCAUCUCUUCUCCUCUCCUACACCUCUGUCGUGCAGCUCCAUCGCUGCUUCGAUAUCAGAGUUUGACGAAAAAGCUCCAGCCACCACCAAUCAACCUUUCUUCCCUAUCUCCUCUCUCUCUCACUUCCCUAUUCCUCUACUUUGCUGGAGGCAGUGACCGACGAGCUUCGACCGACUCCAAAACACC